CUGAUGUGAAAGCCCACGGUUUCAACCGUGGAGGGUCAUUGGAAACUGGGGAACUUGAGUGCAGAAGAGAAAAGCGGAAUUCCACGUGUAGCGGUGAAAUGCGUAGAGAUGUGGAGGAACACCAGUGGCGAAGGCGGCUUUUUGGUCUGUAACUGACGCUGAGGCGCGAAAGCGUGGGGAGCAAACAGGAUUAGAUACCCUGGUAGUCCACGCCGUAAACGAUGAGUGCUAAGUGUUAGAGGGUUUCCGCCCUUUAGUGCUGCAGCUAACGCAUUAAGCACUCCGCCUGGGGAGUACGGUCGCAAGACUGAAACUCAAAGGAAUUGACGGGGGCCCG
rnacentral:rRNA from 2 species